rnacentral:misc_RNA from 1 species
UGGUUCUGGCAUCGAUGAAGAACGCAGCGAAAUGCGAUAAGUAAUGUGAAUUGCAGAAUUCAGUGAAUCAUCGAAUCUUUGAACGCACAUUGCGCCCUCUGGUAUUCCGGGGGGCAUGCCUGUUCGAGCGUCAUUACAACCCUCAAGCUAAGCUUGGUAUUGGGUGAUACCGUCUUGGUAUGCCUUAAAAUCAGUGGCGGUGCCAUCUGGCUUCUAGCGUAGUAAUACUUUUCGCUAUGGGGUUCUAGAUGUGUGCUUGCCAUCAACUUCUAUUUACUGGUUGACCUCGGAUCAGGUAGGGAUACCCGCUGA